rnacentral:rRNA from 1 species
UCCCUUAGUAGCGGCGAGCGAACAGGGAAGAGCCCAGCGCCGAAUUCCGCGUCCCAAAGGGCGUUUGGAACAUGUGGCGUUUAGGAGGAAUCUCUCCGAGGGCAGACGGUGUCGCAAGUCCCCCUGAACGGGGCUGUGAUCCAGAGCGGGUGCGAGGCCCAUAGCUGGUACCGUCUCCUUUGGGUGUCCCCUCCUUGGAGUCGGGUUGCUUGGGAGUGCAGCCCUAAUUGGGUGGUAAACUCCACCUAAGGCUAAAUACGUCCGUGAGACCGAUAGCAAACAAGUACCGUGAGGGAAAGUUGCAAAGAACUUUGAAGAGAGAGUUCAAGAGUACGUGAAACCGCUCAGAGGCAAACGGGUGGGCCCACGAAAGCCGAAGGCGGGGGGAUUCAGUCGAGAGGACGGUGGGGCAGGACUGGCUGGUUGGACGGACCGUGCCAGGCCGGGUCAGUUCCCGAGAUCUGCUGCCUUUCGACGCAUUUCCCCCUGCUUAGUAGGACGCCGCAACCGGUUGGCGCUGCAGCCAUAAGGGAGAGUAAAUGGAAGGUAGCCAGUGAGUUCUUCUUCGGAGGCGCGAGCUGGUCCUAAGCCGACUCUCCUGGUGCUUGUGGCCCGACCGUGGUCGUGAGUCCCUCAACGGGAUGUUGCCGAGCCCUCUGACUGGAGCGGGAGAAGUGGCAGGCUGCUUUCCGUGGAAAAAAUCGAUCGCUUCACGCGUGCAGUGGGCGAUCUCCGGAGGUAGCUGCUGGUGCGUUUUUCUCCUGCGCUGGGCACAGGCAGUUGGCGGCGAGUAGGUCGGUCACCCACCCGACCCGUCUUGAAACACGGACCAAGGAGUCUAACAUGUGCGCGAGUCAUUGGGUCUUGAACAAGCCCAAAGGCGCAAUGAAAGUGAAGACCAGCACUGAAGCUGGUGGAGUUGGGAAACUGUGUCACUGAAGAUGCAGUUGCACCAACGGCCCGUCCCGUCCGCAUUGUCGGUGGGGCGGAGCGAGAGCGUACACGUUGGGACCCGAAAGAUGGUGAACUAUGCCUGGGCAGGACGAAGCCAGAGGAAACUCUGGUGGAGGUCCG